ensembl:lncRNA
GAGGAGAGAGGAGAGGAGAGGAGAGGAGAGGAGGAGAAUCCCAGGUAGAGGGCAGGACACUGGAGGCUGAGGAGGAGAGGAGAGGAGGAGGGAGGAGAGCUCUGGGGCCAUCCCAGGUAGAGGGCAGGAUACUGGAGGCUGAGGAGGAGAUGAGAGGGGGAGAAGCGGAGAGGAGAGGAGGAGAGGAGAAGAGGAGAGGAGGAGAGCUCUGGUGCUAUCCCAGGUAGAGGGCAGGAUACUGGAGGCUGAGGAGGAGAGGAGAGGGGGAGAAGCGGAGAGGAGAGGAGGAGAGGAGAAGAGGAGAAGAUGAGAGGAGGAGAGCUCUGGUGCUAUCCCAGGUAGAGGGCAGGAUACUGGAGGCUGAGGAGGAGAGGAGAGGAGGAGAGCUCUGGGGCCAUCCCAGGUAGAGGGCAGGAUACUGGAGGCUGAGGAGGAGAUGAGAGGGAGAAGCGGAGAGGAGGAGAAGAGGAGAGGAGAAGAGGAGAGGAGGAGAGCUCUGGUGCUAUCCCAGGUAGAGGGCAGGAUACUGGAGGCUGAGGAGGAAAGGAGAGGAGAGGAGAGGAGAGGAGAGGAGAGGAGAGGAGAGGAGAGGAGAGGAGAGGAGAGGAGAAUCCCAGGUAGAGGGCAGGAUACUGGAGGCUGAGGAGGAGAGGAGAGGAGGAGAGCUCUGCUGCUAUCCCAGGCAGAGGGCAGGAUACUGGAGGCUGAGGAGGAGAGGAGAGGAGAGGAGGAGAGCUCUGCUGCUAUCCGAGGUAGAGGGCAGGAUACUGGAGGCUGAGGAGGAGAGGAGAGGAGAGGAGGAGAGCUCUGCUGCCAUCCCAGGUAGAGGGCAGGAUACUGGAUGCUUGCAUGAAGCAGGAAUAUGGUGCAAUGCUGUGUCCCAAAACUAGCUGGACCCCUGCCUGCUUCUCUAUCUGUGGUGUCAUUUACUGUAUGAAGCUUUGGUCUGCAUGUCACGGAGACACUCAUCCUAUAAUAGAGGUCAUGGAGACACUCAUCCCAUCAUAGAGGUCAUGGAGACACUCAUCCCAUAAUAGAGGUCACGGAGACACUCAUCCCAUAAUAGAGGUCACGGAGACACUCAUCCCAUAAGAGGUCACGGAGACACUCAUCCCAUAAUAGAGGUCAGAGAACCUCAUCCCAUAAUAGAGGUCAGAGAACCUCAUCCCAUAAUAGAGGUCACGGAGACACUCAUCCCAUAAUAGAGGUCACGGAGACACUCAUCCCAUAAUAGCUGUCACGGAGACACUCAUCCCAUAAUAGAGGUCACGGAGACACUCAUCCCAUAAUAGAGGUCAUGGAGACACUCAUCCCAUAAUAGAGGUCACGGAGACACUCAUCCCAUAAUAGAGGUCACGG